AUGCUCAGUACGGCGAGUGAAGCGGCAAAAGCUCAAAUUUGAAAUCUGCGUAAGCCGAGUUGUAAUUUGAAGAUGGCUACUUUGGUAAUGGCUCUUGUCUAUGUUCCUUGGAACAGGACGUCACAGAGGGUGAGAAUCCCGUGCGAUGAGAUGUCCAUUACCGUGUAAAGUGCUUUCGAAGAGUCGAGUUGUUUGGGAAUGCAGCUCUAAGUGGGUGGUAAAUUCCAUCUAAAGCUAAAUAUUGGCGAGAGACCGAUAGCGAACAAGUACAGUGAUGGAAAGAUGAAAAGAACUUUGAAAAGAGAGUGAAAAAGUACGUGAAAUUGUUGAAAGGGAAGGGCUUGAGAUCAGACUUGGUAUUUUGUAUGGCUUGCUUUCGGGCGGGUCCUCUGCAGUUUACUGGGCCAGCAUCGGUUUGGGUGGCAGGAUAAUAGCAUAGGAAUGUGGCUCUACUUCGGUGGAGUGUUAUAGCCUUUGUUGAUACUGCCUGCCUAGACCGAGGACUGCGUCUUUUGACUAGGAUGCUGGCAUAAUGAUCCUAAGCCGCCCGUCUUGAAACCACGGACCA
rnacentral:rRNA from 1 species